CCUACGGGGGGCAGCAGUGAGGAAUAUUGGUCAAUGGACGCAAGUCUGAACCAGCCAUGCCGCGUGCAGGAAGACGGCUCUAUGAGUUGUAAACUGCUUUUGUACGAGGGUAAACUCAGAUACGCGUAUCUGUCUGAAAGUAUCGUACGAAUAAGGAUCGGCUAAAUCCGUGCCAGCAGCCGCGGUAAUACGGAGGAUUCAAGCGUUAUCCGGAUUUAUUGGGUUUAAAGGGUGCGUAGGCGGACGGAUAAGUUAGAGGUGAAAUCCAGGGGCUCAACAUGGGAAUUGCCUCUGAUACUGGUCGGCUAGAGAGUAGUAGAGGUAGGCGGAAUGUAUGGUGUAGCGGUGAAAUGCUUAGAGAUCAUGCAGAACAUCGAUUGCGAAGGCAGCUUAC
rnacentral:rRNA from 1 species